CCUACGGGAGGCAGCAGUGGGGAAUAUUGGACAAUGGGGGGGACCCUGAUCCAGCGACGCCGCGUGAGUGAAGAAGUAUUUCGGUAUGUAAAGCUCUAUCAGCCGGGAAGCAAAUGACGGUACCUGACUACGAAGCCCCGGCUAACUACGUGCCAGCAGCCGCGGUAAUGCGGAGGGGGCAAGCGUUAUCCGGAUUUAAUGGGUGUAAAGGGAGCGUAGACGGUGCAGCAAGUCUGAUGUGAAAGGUCGGGGCCCAACCCCGGGACUGCCUUUGAAACUGUCGAACUGGAGUACAGGAGAGGUAAGCGGAAUGCCCAGUGUAGCGGUGAAAUGCGUAGAUAUUAGGAGGAACACCAGUGGCGAAGGCGGCUUACUGGACUGUAACUGACGUUGAGGCGCGAAAGCGUGGGGAGCAAACAGGAUUAGAUACCCUAGUAGUC
rnacentral:rRNA from 1 species